rfam:Echinococcus multilocularis genomic scaffold, pathogen_EmW_scaffold_05
UACCGGGUUGAUCCUGCCAGUAGACAUAUGCUUGUCUCAAAGAUCAGGCCCUGCAUGUCUACGUUCAGGCCUUAAUACGGUGAGACCGCGAAUGGCUCAUUAAAUCAGCUAUGGUUUAUUGGAUCGUGCCUGUUAGAUGGAUAACUGUAAUAACUCUAGAGCUAAUACAUGCCUCGAUGCCCUGACCCUGCCUGGCUUGCCUUGCUUGCAUGUGGUAGGCUAUGGGUGCACUUAUUAGAUCGGAAGCCAACCAAUUGUGCGUGCGCGGCCGGCUGCAAGGUCGUCGUUGCGUGCGUUGAGACACUCGCUUCUGGUGACUCUGGCUAAUUGCUACAGAUCGCAGUCGGCAUUGAGUCGGCGACAGGUCCUUCAAAUGUCUGCCCUAUCAACUUUCGAUGGUGGGUGACCUGCCUACCAUGGUGGCAACGGGUAACGGGUAACGGGAAAUCAGGGUUCGAUUCAAGAGAGGGAGCUUGAGAAACGGCUACCACUUCCAAGGCAGCAGACGCGCAAAUUACCCACUCUCAGCACGGGGAGGUAGUGACGAAAAAUACCGAUGCGGAACUUCUUCAAGGGGCUCCGUAAUCGGAAUGAGUGGACUCUAAACCCCUUCACGAGGAUCAAUUGGAGGUCAAGUCUGGUGCCAGCAGCCGCGGUAACUCCAGAUCCAAUAGCGUAUAUUAAAGUUGCUGCAGUUAAAAAGCUCGUUGUUGGAUCUCGGUAGCAUUGCUGCUUGUUGGUAAUUGAGCGACCGGUGUGUGGUUAUCGGUGCGCAGUUUCCUCUGCGCCUGCGUGUUGGUGGGCCGGUGGGUAUUUCGGAUGGUGAGUUGGGCAGUUGGUGCUAACUUGUCGUCCGGUCUGCUUGCUAGAUCGCUCAUUCACUUGCAGCGACGUUUGGAGGCUCUGUGUGGUCGUGGCCAUGAGCAAGCACUUCUGCCUGCUAAUUAGUACGUUCGUCCACUGCACCUGCAUGGGUGACGUUGGAUGAUACCGCCUAUCACUUCUUCCUGAGAGUGAGGGUGCAAGAUGACGCUCGUGGUUGGUUAGUCUGGCGUUGGCCUGCGGAUGCGGCGCAAAUGCUUACUUCUUAGAGAGACAGGCGGGAGAAGCCGCACGAGAUGGAGCAAUAACAGGUCUGUGAUGCCCUUAGAUAUCAGGGGCCGCACGCGCGCUACAAUGACGGUGUCGGAGAGUGCGACCUUCUGGCCCGAGAGGGUUGGGCAAACUGGUCAAUCGCCGUCGUGACAGGGAUCGGGGCUUGCAAUUGUUCCCCGUGAAAGAGGAAUUCCUAGUAAGUGCUAGUCAUGAGCUUGCGCUGAUUACGUCCCUGCCCUUGGUACACACCCGUCGCUACUACCUAUUGAAUGGUUUAGUAAGGUCCUUGGAUCGGCCUCCUUGUGGCAAUUGCCGGAAAGUCAUUGCCCUACAGUCGCUGAGAAGACGACCAAACUUGAUCAUUUAGAGGAAGUAAAAGUCGUAACAAGGUUUCCGUAGGUGAACCUGCGGAAGGAUCAUUA